rnacentral:rRNA from 1 species
UGCUGUCACUUAUAGAUGGAUCCGCGCUGCAUUAGCUAGUUGGUAAGGUAACGGCUUACCAAGGCAACGAUGCAUAGCCGACCUGAGAGGGUGAUCGGCCACACUGGAACUGAGACACGGUCCAGACUCCUACGGGAGGCAGCAGUAGGGAAUCUUCCGCAAUGGGCGAAAGCCUGACGGAGCAACGCCGCGUGAGUGAUGAAGGUCUUCGGAUCGUAAAACUCUGUUAUUAGGGAAGAACAUAUGUGUAAGUAACUGUGCACAUCUUGACGGUACCUAAUCAGAAAGCCACGGCUAACUACGUGCCAGCAGCCGCGGUAAUACGUAGGUGGCAAGCGUUAUCCGGAAUUAUUGGGCGUAAAGCGCGCGUAGGCGGUUUUUUAAGUCUGAUGUGAAAGCCCACGGCUCAACCGUGGAGGGUCAUUGGAAACUGGAAAACUUGAGUGCAGAAGAGGAAAGUGGAAUUCCAUGUGUAGCGGUGAAAU